GGCUUUGUGCAGUGGCAGCAUCAUAGCCAUUGAGUUUAUCCGAGGCACGAUUAUUGCUAAUUGAAAACUCUCUAAUUCUUUUCUCAGUUUAAAGGAGACUACUGAUUCUCUUUGAGU
rnacentral:snRNA from 14 species